AUUGAACGCUGGCGGCAGGCCUAACACAUGCACGUCGAACGAGUGGCGGACGGGUGCGUAAUGUCUGGGAAACUGCCUGCUGGAGGGGGAUAACUACUGGAAACGGUAUCUAAUACCGCAUACCAUCAGAUGUGCCCAGAUGGGAUUAGCUCGUUGGUGGGGUAACGGCUCACCAAGGCUACGAUCCCUAGCUGGUCUGAGAGGAUGACCAGCAACUAGGGAACUGGGACACGGUCCCGCGGCUUACGGGAGGCAGCAGUGGGUAAUAUAUCACAAUGUGAGCAAGCCUGAGGCAGCCAUGACGCGUGUAUGAAGAAGGCCUUCGGGUGGUAAAGUCCUUUAGGCGGGGAGGAUUUACCAGCAGAAGAAGCCCCGGCUAACUCCGUGCCAGCAGCCGCGGUAAUAC
rnacentral:rRNA from 1 species